rnacentral:rRNA from 1 species
CUAGUCUCAGUUCGGAUUGGAGUCUGCAACCCGACUCCAUGAAGCUGGAUUCGCUAGUAAUCGCGCAUCAGCCACGGCGCGGUGAAUACGUUCCCGGGCCUUGUACACACCGCCCGUCAAGCCAUGGAAGCCGGGAGUGCCUGAAGUGCGUGAGCGCAAGCAGCGCCCUAAGGUAAAACCGGUGACUGGGGCUAAGUCGUAACAAGGUAAC